rnacentral:lncRNA from 1 species
AUGCGCGCAAGGGCUGCCCUGUACGACGUUUCGCUUCUCUGCGGUUCGUGGUGCCUGAAGUGGGAAGUGAGGCGAUGGCGGCGAAGGAGGGUGGCGGAGGGGGGAGGGAGAGAGAGGAACGGGUCGAUAAAGGGCGGAGGGGCAGCGGGGGAGCUUGGCUUCGUCACUCCCACACAAGGACGGGGGUUGGUGCAAGGAAAAGCUGUGCCUUCCCGCCCUUCCCCUCUAGUGCAGGAAUGCCGUUGUUGUUUCUGCCGAAAUAAGCGUGUCGGCGCCGGCGCUGAGUACGUUGUAGUAGCAAUUCUACAAUAGAAGAUCCUGAUUUACAUCAUCGUGAUGUCUUACUGUGGGGAAAGGUAUAUUGCCUACGUUGAAGCACAUGACUAGCUAAACAUAUUUAAGCUAUGUUAUACUGAAUGAAAUACCUGGCCGAGGAUGAAAAACAUGUACUGAGUGUGGUGAACAAAUCUGAUGAAUUAAAGGAUUUUCUGAGGCCAGAGUAGCAACAAGUAGAUUUAAAUUUACACCUGCCUUUGCAGUUGUUUCCGUUUUUAAAAUUAGCCUUAGAGACACUUCCAUGUCUAAAGAACUUGGUUGUUUUGUAGUCUUCCAUUCUGGUUAAGACUGCUUCCAAUAGUUACUGGAUGAGACAGAUUAUCUAGAUCUAUUUGAGUCUAGUUUCAGGUCUGGCUAUAGGACAGGCAAAGUUUUGCUUGUCUUGAUGGAGGACCUGUGCUGACUGCUAUAUACAAGGUGCAGUUGCUUUAACCAAAAUAAUUUUCAGGAAUCUGUUAGUUACCAUAUUUUUCUGUGUAUACGACAGCCCAUGUAUAAGAUACCCCUCACUUUUCUAAUCCAAAAUUAAGAAAUCUAAGAGGGUCUUAGCAAGUGCAGGGGGAAAGAGAUCAAAGCGCUAAAGGAUCACUUUGAUCCCUGCUUUCCCCUCUACUUGUUUUUGUUCCCUCCUCAGAUUACUUCCGUGUAUAAGACAACCCUCAAUUUUUAGUCUAAAGAUUUUAGACAAAAGUAUAGUCUUAAACACGGAAAAUACGGUAUCUUAAUGUAGCUUUCUUCAACAAAUAUUAACACCUGAUGGAUGCUGGUUUUGUAAUUGUAAGCAUAGGAACUGAGUGCAGGUAUUGAAAGGAGUUGAAAAUAAUAUAGUGGCUGAAAUCCUGUUGCUUAGCAUAGCAUGUUGCAACUGGCGUAGUCCCAUUGAGUCACUGAAACUUGUAGAUGAGUUGAUUCACCAAAUCCUCAUUGAUUCAUUGGGCCUACUCUAAUUGUGAUGCAUUAUACUAAGCAACAGGUUCUAGCCAUUUUCAUCUGUUUUCUUAUCUACCUACAGUGUAAUCUUAGAAGAGUUGCACUAAUAUACAAACAUAACUUAUGUUACUUCAAGUCUUCAGUGUUAUAUGUGUUUUGAAUUACAAACCCUUACAUAUAAAUGCUUAAAAAUUCAUCUUGCAGUUGAUUUCAUUGCACCAUUAUUUGUCUUUUUGCAGGCAGCAUGAAUUAUAGGAUGACUGGCGACUAUUUAUUUAUUUUUUUUUUGCUUACAAGAAGAUAAUUUAAAAGAAAGAAUGCUUACAAUUGCGAUUCAAUUUUUUUAACAAAAUUAAAUGGUACUAUCUGAAGGAACAUUGAGACAGGCUACAGUGCUUAAAAUUGUACACAACAACAAGCUGACAUAGGAGAUGUAACAGGUGGAAGGGAUGCUAUGGAUCAUUAAGACCAGCCCUUGUCAGGGAGGCACAGUGGGGAAUCUAACUCCCAACCUCUGGCUCUGCAGCCAGAUACCUAAAUCACUGACCUAUUCAGCAGUUCAGUUGUUUCCUUGAAGUAAAAGUAAUAAUAUAUUGUGGUGAGACUAACCUAUAAUUUCAUUAGUAAUAGUUUGUUAGUGAAAUCAGUUGAUUUUUUAAUGGCAUCAGUUAGCAUAGAGACCAGUAGUAAGUAGAUAAAUUUUGGGGAAACAUAUUUGGAAAUAGGAGGAAUCUUUGGUUUUCCUCACUGAAUUCUGAAAGAGAAAAUUACAUUUUUUGGAUGUGUGAGUACUGUAUUUUUCCAUGUAUAAAACACCCUCAUGUAUAAGGCUGCCUCUGCUUUUCUAACCCAACAUUAAGAAAUCACUAUUUUAAACAUAAAACAGAACACAUUUCUUUUUUUAAAAAAAGUAUUCAAAUACUAAAGGCAUAUUUAGUACUGGUAAUUAGGUAAUAUUUUAAAGAUGAAAUUUUGCAUCACUCUCCAUGGUGGGCAUAUAACUUGCUUCAACCUUGGUGGAUGCAAGGUUCUCUAAGCUGGGCUCGCGCGUGCAUGUGUCUCUGCUUCCUUCCGCACAGCGUUCUUCCUCCUUGAUCACAUUCAACCCCUUAGGUUCCAGUCAUGAGGGAACCCCGCGUGCGGGGGGGGGGGCAGAGUCACACAGGCACACAGGGAUGAAGUCGCACAUGGGAGAGGUGGAGCCCCGCCCAUUGGUGUUGAAAAUUACAGAGUAUGUUGGGCCGAAGUCUGUAGAGACAAGGUAUCAGCAGUUUUGCUGUGCAACUGCGGGGUUUUCUCAACCUGUUAUCCCUGUGUAUAAGACACACACACCCCAAUUUUUGGUCUAGACAUUUUAGAAAAAAUGUAAUCUUAUACAUGGAAAAGUACAAGAUAUAGGAAUAAAGAUGGUUCUUUGGAUAGAGGUUUAUAUAGA